rnacentral:rRNA from 1 species
GAUGAACGCUGGCGGCGUGCUUAACACAUGCGAGUCGAACGGAAAGGCCCAAGCUUGCUUGGGUACUCGAGUGGCGAACGGGUGAGUAACACGUGGGUGAUCUGCCCUGCACUUCGGGAUAAGCCUGGGAAACUGGGUCUAAUACCGGAUAGGACCACAUUUUGGAUGGUGUGGUGGAAAGUUUUUCGGUGUGGGAUGAGCUCGCGGCCUAUCAGCUUGUUGGUGGGGUAAUGGCCUACCAAGGCGUCGACGGGUAGCCGGCCUGUGAGGGUGUACGGCCACAUUGGGACUGAGAUACGGCCCAGACUCCUACGGGAGGCAGCAGUGGGGAAUAUUGCACAAUGGGCGCAAGCCUGAUGCAGCGACGCCGCGUGGGGGAUGACGGCCUUCGGGUUGUAAACUCCUUUCGCUAGGGACGAAGCGUUAUGUGACGGUACCUGGAGAAGAAGCACCGGCUAACUACGUG